rnacentral:rRNA from 1 species
GAUGAACGCUGACAGAAUGCUUAACACAUGCAAGUCAACUUGAACUUCGGUUUGGGUGGCGGACGGGUGAGUAACGCGUAAAGAACUUGCCUCACAGCUAGGGACAACAUUUGGAAACGAAUGCUAAUACCUGAUAUUAUGAUUAUAUGGCAUCGUAUAAUUAUGGAAGCUAUAUGCGCUGUGAGAGAGCUUUGCGUCCCAUUAGCUAGUUGGAGAGGUAACAGCUCACCAAGGCGAUGAUGGGUAGCCGGCCUGAGAGGGUGAUCGGCCACAAGGGGACUGAGACACGGCCCUUACUCCUACGGGAGGCAGCAGUGGGGAAUAUUGGACAAUGGACCGAGAGUCUGAUCCAGUAAUUCUGUGUGCACGAUGAAGUUUUUCGGAAUGUAAAGUGCUUUCAGUUGGGAAGAAAAAAAUGACGGUACCAACAGAAGAAGUGACGGCUAAAUACGUG